rnacentral:tRNA from 1 species
GGAGAUUUGGUUGAGUCCUUGAGCAUCUUUCUCAGGCAAAGCCUUGAUCUCGCCAAACAUACUCGUGCAAUUCAUUACGAGUGAUAACUUCAUUGGGUCUUUC